AACAGGGUGAACCCGUCUCUGUGGCAAAAGAGUGGGAAGACCUUGCAGUAGAGGUGAAAAGCCAAACGAGCCUGGUGAUAGCUGGUUGCUCAACAAACGAAUUUAAGUUCGACUUUAGGUUAAACUAGAUAAAUCUAAAACCCCAUAUAACCUAAAAGCUACUCAAUGAAGGUACAUCUCCAUUGAGUUGGGAUACAACCCAAACUAGAGAGAAAUAAACAUUAAUUUACCAGUAGGCCUUAAAGCCGCCACCAAUAACAAAAGCGUCACAGCACAAAAACAAUAAAUACCACAAGUCACACCCAACCUCCUAGGAAAAAAUUGAGCCAAACUAUAAUCAUAGGCGAACUAAUGCUAAAACUAGUAACCAGAAAAAUUCUCCCUGCACCCAUGUAACCCAGAAAUAGAAAAACUACUGGACUUUAACAGACCAAAACAGGCACACACAACCAGUGUACUACCAACUGUUGAACCAACACCGGAGUGCUAUCAAGACAGAUUAAAAGUUAUUUAAGGAACUCAGCAAAACUUGUCCCAACUGUUUACCAAAAACAUAGCCUUUAGCUAACACAAGUAUUAAAGGUCCCGCCUGCCCAGUG
rnacentral:rRNA from 1 species